UGGGGAAUUUUGGACAAUGGGCGCAAGCCUGAUCCAGCAAUGCUGCGUGCAGGAUGAAGGCCUUCGGGUUGUAAACUGCUUUUGUACGGAACGAAAAGGCUCUGGCUAAUACCUGGGGCACAUGACGGUACCGUAAGAAUAAGCACCGGCUAACUACGUGCCAGCAGCCGCGGUAAUACGUAGGGUGCGAGCGUUAAUCGGAAUUACUGGGCGUAAAGCGUGCGCAGGCGGUUUUGUAAGACAGAGGUGAAAUCCCCGGGUCUCAACCUGGGAACUGCCUUUGUGACUGCAAGGCUGGAGUGCGGCAGAGGGGGGAUGGAAUUCCGCGUGUAGCAGUGAAAUGCGUAGAUAUGCGGAGGAACACCGAUGGCGAAGGCAAUCCCCUGGGCCUGCACUGACGCUCAUGC
rnacentral:rRNA from 1 species